rnacentral:lncRNA from 1 species
GUCCUGUUGCUGCUGGGAGAGCCUGGCUAAUAUAGCCUGAAACCAACGGGGCACCCAGCCUUUUCCCGAGGGGCGCUGUGUGCACGUUGGGUCCGGCCCUCGACACCCAGCCAGACGGGUGCCAGCUCUGCUCCUGCUCUCGCUUCCUGCUGGCCCGGGGCCUCAAGGUCAGCCCGAGGUGACAGCAUCGCCCCUGAGUCUGCCCCCAGCCCUGGGCACGUGGCCAGGCUUCUGCAUGCAUAACGGCGCUAGCAGCACGUGAAAGAACUUUUCCUCCUUAGCUGGGUCGGGAACACGGGGAGGACUCGGCGCGUUGAGGUCACACAGACGGUAACUGGUGCCCACCGAGACCACGGCACCUGCAAGUCCUGGCAGGGAGUGCAACACGGGACAGAGCUGCCACGCCCCUCAUUGCUGGCACUUCCUGCUCAGCACAGACCUGCGGGGAGGGUGGGUUUGGUGUUUUUUGAUAGACUAUCUAGCACAGCCUGUUGUUGUCACCCUGCCUGGCUGCCGGUGUCAGCACUCACACCCGGCAUCCUUGCCUGGGGCUGUCACCCCUGGGUGCAGGCCCCUUUGCUCAACCCUCUCCCCAAGCCAAGAGCCCCACAUGUGGGUCUGAAAACCUCCUCCCGCCUCUCCUCAGCCCCUGGGGGGCUCUCCCAGGAUACGCCAGGGUGCGAGAGGACUGGGCAGCCCACGGGUGAGCAGAGGAGGGUCACAUCCAGGGGACUAGGGACUUCCAGAAUUGGCCUCCAGGCCAGCCACAGACUACACGACCAGCCCCACCGAGGUCUGCUGAGGGGAACAGACCUUGUCCCCACUGAGGCCAGUUUCCCAGAAGGCCAGUUGCUCCCAAAACUGGCCCAAGGCUGGUUUGCAGGGACUUCUGUGCAACUGACCUCUCCCCUCCCAGACUCAGGACUGGGAUGCAGCUGCAGGGGGCGCCAGCCAGGCACAAAGACCGGUGAUUUCUCCAUCAAAGGUCUUGCUCCAGGCCCAGGUCCUACUGCCUCCCAACCACCCCCCACACACACACACACUGCCAGGGGCGCACUUCUCUUCUUAACAGCUCACUCCCAGGUGUGUGCGAGGGCCUCUCCCGUCUCCCUCCCCAAGAGGCCACUGUCUUCCCUUGCGGUCUCCUCCACCUGGGAUUCACAUUCCCUUUCCAGACAUCUAGCAUUUUCUUCACAGCAGAUUCCCAAAGACGAAUGACCCUGGCCUCUGGGACAGGCCGCAUUGCAUGCUUUCAAGGGCAAAAACGGCGCAGCUGCAAUUAGACAAUCACCAGACUCAGCCCCUGCCAGCGCCAGUGCCUCAGACGCAGCCAGGGCCUCUGUCCUGC